AACGGUGAAGCACCUUCCUUUUGGUGGGUGUGGAUGAGUGGCGAACGGGUGAGUAACACGUGAGUAACCUGCCCCCUUCUUCUGGAUAACCGCAUGAAAGUGUGGCUAAUACGGGAUACUCUGUGCCUGCUGCAUGGUGGGUGUGGGAAAGAUGCGCCUUUGGGUGUUUUUGGUGGGGGAUGGGCUCGCGGCCUAUCAGCUUGUUGGUGGGGUGAUGGCCUACCAAGGCGGUGACGGGUAGCCGGCCUGAGAGGGUGGACGGUCACACUGGGACUGAGACACGGCCCAGACUCCUACGGGAGGCAGCAGUGGGGAAUAUUGCACAAUGGGCGCAAGCCUGAUGCAGCGACGCCGCGUGAGGGAUGGAGGCCUUCGGGUUGUAAACCUCUUUCGCCAGUGAAGCAGGCCUGUCCCUUGUGGGUGGGUUGACGGUAGCUGGAUAAGAAGCGCCGGCUAACUACGUGCCAGCAGCCGCGGUAAUACGUAGGGCGCGAGCGUUGUCCGGAAUUAUUGGGCGUAAAGAGCUCGUAGGCGGCUGGUCGCGUCUGUCGUGAAAUCCUCUGGCUUAACUGGGGGCUUGCGGUGGGUACGGGCCGGCUUGAGUGCGGUAGGGGAGACUGGAACUCCUGGUGUAGCGGUGGAAUGCGCAGAUAUCAGGAAGAACACCGGUGGCGAAGGCGGGUCUCUGGGCCGUUACUGACGCUGAGGAGCGAAAGCGUGGGGAGCGAACAGGAUUAGAUACCCUGGUAGUCCACGCCGUAAACGUUGGGCACUAGGUG
rnacentral:rRNA from 1 species